AGAGUUUGAUCCUGGCUCAGAACGAACGCUGGCGGCAGGCCUAACACAUGCAAGUCGAACGCCCCGCAAGGGGAGUGGCAGACGGGUGAGUAACGCGUGGGAACAUACCCUUCGGUUCGGAAUAGCUCAGGGAAACUUGGAUUAAUACCGGAUACGUCCGUAAGGAGAAAGAUUUAUCGCCGAAGGAUUGGCCCGCGUCUGAUUAGCUUGUUGGUGAGGUAAUGGCUCACCAAGGCGACGAUCAGUAGCUGGUCUGAGAGGAUGACCAGCCACAUUGGGACUGAGACACGGCCCAAACUCCUACGGGAGGCAGCAGUGGGGAAUAUUGGACAAUGGGCGAAAGCCUGAUCCAGCCAUGCCGCGUGAGUGAUGAAGGCCAUAGGGUUGUAAAGCUCUUUUACCCGGGAAGAUAAUGACGGUACCGGGAGAAUAAGCCCCGGCUAACUUCGUGCCAGCAGCCGCGGUAAUACGAAGGGGGCUAGCGUUGUUCGGAAUUACUGGGCGUAAAGCGCACGUAGGCGGAUUUUUAAGUCAGGGGUGAAAUCCCGAGGCUCAACCUCGGAACUGCCUUUGAUACUGGGAAUCUUGAGUCCGGGAGAGGUGAGUGGAACUGCGAGUGUAGAGGUGAAAUUCGUAGAUAUUCGCAAGAACACCAGUGGCGAAGGCGGCUCACUGGCCCGGUACUGACGCUGAGGUGCGAAAGCGUGGGGAGCAAACAGGAUUAGAUACCCUGGUAGUCCACGCCGUAAACGAUGGAUGCUAGCCGUUAGACAGCUUGCUGUUUAGUGGCGCAGUUAACGCUUUAAGCAUCCCGC
rnacentral:rRNA from 1 species